rnacentral:rRNA from 1 species
AUGAUCCGAUGUCAAGGAGGACGCCCGUCCUGUGAUCCAGCUAUGGCCGCCCGAAAUCUUGCUGGGAAUGAAUCGAUCGGCUUCGUCCCAACCGCCGCCAGAAGAGGCUAUUCUACAUACGCCGCGGUGAAGAUGCCAACGGCACGGUCACCUGGUGGGCGCGCCCCAAGCCGAGGAGUGGUGCGUCAGGCGGAUCGUCCCUCGUCUCCGAUCUGCAGAUGUGGUGGUCUGGUGGAUCGGCAAGUUCCUUCUGGUCUUCAAGAGCCUCUCCAACUACGACGUACGACCUCGCCAGCGGAUCAUCCCUCGCCGCCACCAACCGCACGCUGCUUCCGCUCCAGUCCAGGUGGGCCUCACCUGCCACGCCGACUUCGGCAUCUACCCGCUCUGCGCGCAGCGCGCCCAAUGCCUACUCCAUUGUCGACUUCGCCCGGCCGGCACAUGCGCGGCACCUACGGCCUCCCGCGCGGCCUUGCCGUGCCCGCCGCCGCUACCUGGCCGCGGGUCCUGCUCAUCGCCCGCGCCAACACGCGACGGUUCAUGAACGCCGAUGAGAUCGUGCGCGCUGCGCAGAAGCUUGGGUUCGAGGUGGUUGUCUGCGAGGGCACGCACGAGCAUUCGCGGAGCUGGCCAACAUGUGCGACGUCAUGCUGGGCGUGCACGGCGCCGAGCUGA